rnacentral:rRNA from 1 species
CCUACGGGUGGCAGCAGUGGGGAAUAUUGGACAAUGGGGGCAACCCUGAUCCAGCCAUGCCGCGUGUGUGAAGAAGGCCCUCGGGUUGUAAAGCACUUUCAGUGAGGAAGAACGCCUGGUGGUUAAUACCCAUCAGGAAAGACAUCACUCACAGAAGAAGCACCGGCUAACUCCGUGCCAGCAGCCGCGGUAAUACGGAGGGUGCGAGCGUUAAUCGGAAUUACUGGGCGUAAAGCGCGCGUAGGUGGCUUGAUAAGCCGGUUGUGAAAGCCCCGGGCUCAACCUGGGAACGGCAUCCGGAACUGUCAAGCUAGAGUGCAGGAGAGGAAGGUAGAAUUCCCGGUGUAGCGGUGAAAUGCGUAGAGAUCGGGAGGAAUACCAGUGGCGAAGGCGGCCUUCUGGACUGACACUGACACUGAGGUGCGAAAGCGUGGGUAGCAAACAGGAUUAGAUCCCUGGUAGUC